UGGCUAGUCUGCCGACGAAUAAGUGCUAUCUGAUCAAAUAUGAUCCAGACAGGCCCAAAUAGACUACACGCGCCAAGCCGAAUAGUGAAAAAUUUAAUUCUAGAUUCAGCACUGACUAACAUUUAUGAUACUAACGAUAAAAAUGUUAGCGUAGGUUGUAGAGCAAUAAAUUAAUUAAAACUUUAUUAAAAGUAAAUAAUUUAUAUUUUAUUUAUUUGUCUGUUAAAUUACAUUACAUCUAAAGUGCUUUAUGGAAACAUUAAACGAUAAGAAAGUGAACGACUUGCAAUGCCGCUAAAUGUAUUCAGUUUUAAUUUUAUCUCCGAGCAGUUAACAUUACGAAAAUUGUGAUAAUGGUAUUGAAGGAUAUUAUCGCUGAGAAUUCUGACGAGACUGCGGCAGUAAAUGACAGCAAGUAUAGAGCAUUUUCUGAGGGGCAUCGCACUAAUUUUCGACGUUACCAUGUGUACCCGCAUACUUUAUGUUUUCAAUAGGUCCGAAAGUGGGCGUGCGCCAUUUGCAAAGUAUGCUGAUAUUUUCCGGUUUCUGUGUAGCGUUUAUGCAGCGAGCCAAUCUCUCAGUGGCCAUUGUGGCAAUGAUGGACCGCAAUUCCACAAAUCCAGAUUUUCCGGAGUAUGAGUGGUCGGAGCAAACAAAGUCAGUGCUACUGAGCAGCUUCUUUUGGGGUUAUGCCCUCAUGCAGAUACCAGGCGGUCAGCUGGCGCACCGUUUUGGUGGUAAAGUAAUGUAUCUCUACGGUGUCGGUAUUUCUGGAUUUCUCGCCUUGUUUACGCCCUUAAGCGCACAACUGGGCGAUUGGAAAUUCAUUUGCGCCAUACGAUUUCUGCAAGGCUUCUGUCAAGGUUGUCUAUAUCCUUCGACGCAUACGCUUUUAGCGCGAUGGGCGCCACCAGCUGAACGCGGCAUACUUGCAACAAUUUGCUUUUCCGGCCCACAAUUCGGCACUAUCAUAAUAUUGAGUAUUAGUGGUGCGUUAGCUGCUUCAAAGUUUGGUUGGCCGAGCAUUUUCUAUGUUUCCGGCGGUUGUGGUAUUAUCUGGUGUUUGGUGUGGCUGCUGUGGAGCGCUGAUGCACCGCAUAAAUCCAAAUUAAUUACACCCAAGGAGCGAAAUUACAUCGAAUCAGAAUUAGCAGCAAUUUCUAAGAGUGAGAAUAAUACCACCACGGCAAAGUUGCCCACACCUUGGUUAAGCUUAUUCACUUCCUUGCCAUUUUGGGUGCUACUCCUCUGCAACUGUGCCUACAGUUGGGGCUAUUGGACAAUGAUGACAGAAAUACCUUCGUACAUAAAGAAUGUGUUCCACAAAGACAUCCAGAGGAAUGCUUUGCUCUCCGCCCUGCCAUAUACCGCUAAUCUAGUAUUCGGUCUGUGUUUCUGUGCCAUCGGUCAGGUACUGCUGUCAAAGAAAGUUUUGAGCACGAAUGCUAGUCGUAAGAUCUUCAACACGAUCGGCAUGUGGACUCCGAUGACGGCCACUAUUGCGCUGGGGUUUGUCGACGCCGAUAAUGUUGAUGUGGCUGUUAUCUUACUAACUGUGGGUGUUGGCACCGAUUCAGCAACAUUUUUAGGUUAUCUUUUAAACCAUAUGGACUUAUCACCGAAUUUCGCCGGUGCUAUGAUGGGCAUUACAAACUGUGCGGCGAAUUGUAUGAGCAUUUUUGCACCGUUACUUGUUGGCGUCAUUGUGACAGAUACGACAAACCCAAAUCAGUGGCAUUUUAUUUUUUACAUUAUGGCGGGAUUCUAUUUUAUUGCCAACUUACUUUUUGUUACUUUGGGUAGCACUAAAUUACAGCCGUGGAACGAGCCAGUGAAACGAGACACAGAUCGUGUCCAAGAAAACGUUGAAUGAUGAAAGUAUCUCCAUUUCAGCUAGCUAAUAGAGGGAGCUGGAGCAUAAUGCUAAUGCGAAAUGUCAAAGAAUAAUUUUGUUCUUUUGUUUUCUUGUUUUUUGUUCACCUGAAAUUAUCAGUUUUGUUAUCAGUGUCGGGUGUGGUACCGACUGAAUUCCUAUCUUUAACUUUGUUAUUUUUAUUUGAGGUAAUUAUUGUUUAAAUAAGGUAAAAAUAACUCAAAAUUAUCGAGAAGAUCCAUAUGUCAGUGGAAUGCAACAUCAAAUGGUCCAUUAAUAUAAAAUAAAUUAAUUAAUAUAAGAAAAGUCCUAAAUUAGAGUUUUAUGAUUGCGAUGUCAAACAAGAAUCCCGGACGUGGUUAAUCUUAGUGGUAUGGUAGUAUGACGACUAAAAAGUGUGUAAUUAACUUCAGCUUUUGUUAUUGCUGAUGUUAUGGCUAUAUACCGGGAUGUCCCAUUUAUACAAGCUUUAGUGU